rnacentral:rRNA from 1 species
GACUACUGGGGUAUCUAAGCCUGUUUGCUCCCCACGCUUUCGCUCCUCAGCGUCAGGAAAGGUCCAGAGAACCGCCUUCGCCACCGGUGUUCCUCCUGAUAUCUGCGCAUUCCACCGCUCCACCAGGAAUUCCGUUCUCCCCUACCUCCCUCAAGUCUGCCCGUAUCGAAAGCAAGCUUGGAGUUAAGCCCCAAGUUUUCACUUCCGACGCAACAAACCGCCUACGAGCUCUUUACGCCCAAUAAAUCCGGACAACGCUCGCACCCUACGUAUCACCGCGGCUGCUGGCACGUAGUUAGCCGGUGCUUCUUCUCCAGGUACCGUCACAUUCGUCCCUGGUGAAAGCGGUUUACAACCCGAAGGCCUUCAUCCCGCACGCGGCGUUGCUGCAUCAGACUUUCGUCCAUUGUGCAAUAUUCCCCACUGCAGCCCCCCGUAGG